AUCAUUGAUGGGCAUUUAGAUUGAUUCCAUGUUUUUGCUAUUGUGAAUAGUGUUGCAGUGAACAUAACAUGUGCAUAUAUCUCUAUGGGGUUUUUACCUUUCUAAAUACUUGGCAAAAAUAAUCAAAGGGAAAAUAAUAUUUUGUGACAUAUGAAAAUUAUAUGAAAUUUGAAUUUAGGUGCCCAUAAAGUUUUAUUGGAACACAGUCAUUUACGUGCCACUCAUUUACAUGUCAUCUAUUACUGUUUUUGCUCUACAACAGCAGAGUUGAGUAGUUAUGAUAGAGACCGUAAGGUUUACAAAGCCUAAACUUUUUAUUAUCUGGUCCUUUACAGGAAUAAUUUGCUGACCUCAAAUUUAAUGGAAUCUCUCCUCACCCCCACCCUAGAUUGGGUGGCCAAAAAAUCGCAAGGUUUGGCAAAGACACCGAGACACCUGCUGGUGUGGGGAACUGGAGGAAACCCAGGCUCUUGUUCAGCCCAAGUUGCACAUGCUCCUACGGUGGCCCCGGUGGACGAGUGUUGCAAGCACAGCAGCAUUUGAGCUGAAACAAAUAAGUAAAACGUCUAUUUAAUGAGGAUUCAAGCUAUGUAGCCCCAGAGGAAGGAAGUAGGACUUUUAAAAUAAAGAACGUCAUCUAUCCUCAGCCACAGACUGGAACGCCGUGGUGUCUCAGCACCAGCCCAAGCACUUUGGAGAGCUUAUUGAAUCCGAUCCUGAACAGUAGGAGGAUCUCAUCCAGGAUAUCACACUACAUUUAGUUGUCCCAUCUCCUUAGGCUCCUCUUGCUGUGGCCAUUUCCCAGACUUUCUUUUUGAUGACCUUGACAGCUUUGAGGAGGAGCUUGACAGCUGAGGAGAACUGGUAAGAUAUUUUGUAGGAUGUCCCUCAAUUGGGGUUUGUUUGAUGUUUUUCUCAUGAUUAGACUAGGGUUAUGGGUUUUGCUAAGUCAGACAGACAUGACUCCAUCCUCAAGAAGCUCGCAAUCUAGUGGAGAAGUUUGACAUGGCCAUUUUUGAAUGCAGUUUGUUAAAUGGUGCUAAUGUCACCUUGGGAUGUCCUUGCUGCUUUUAAAUGGCACACAAUACUGGAAUGACCAGCCAGUCUCUUGUCUCAUUUCUCUCUCUUGGUGUUCUCUAACAGAAACAGAGAAAAAUUGGUUCAUCUAUGAAGGGUAGUGGGUGCCUGUUGAAGAGACCAUCAUAGUUGAUCCAUAUCAGAGCGACCUUAAGGAAAAGAAGGACCAAGCCUGGAUGUUGCCACUGUUGAAUCUCCAGUACUCAUUCCGGUUUUAGAAGAGACCAGACCCUCAACACAUACGUGCUGGUUGAGGAAAGAGAGGCCUUCUGAGUACCAUAGGAAGAGAGUCUAGGGAGGUUUGGGAGAAUCAAGGAAGCAAUUUGUGAUGAAGUCUUUGUUAUGACACAGACAGGCUCCUGGGGGAAGGAGGAAGCCACAAGAUGGCCCCAGAAUUAGACGAUCCUGCCCAACAUUCGUGUGACUUCUCCGUCUCCAGUUCUUGACAGACGAUCAGGAUUAGUCGCCAGGAGAACUGACUGUGGUUCUUUAAAGGAGCAUAUAAUUAUAAUGCUUGAUACUUAAGGGUUGUCUUUUAUUUCAAGCUCUUUCAGCACCUAAGGAGUUUUAACUCCAUAAUCUUGACAGCUUUUCAUUACAUUACUUUUUUUCCAUUAAAUUGUACAAGGACCUACUUGAACAACAUUUUUAAAAAGCUCUCUAUUAAAAAAAAUAUUCAUCUACUUUUUGCUCAUCUCUAUUUCUUCCGUGACAAUUUGCUAGAACUUUAAUUACCCUACUAUGUGCUAUUUGAAGUUCAGGACAUAUUGCACUCAUAUAGUGCUGAACACAUGGUAUGUACCUUAUAAAUGCUUGUGUUGUUAUAGUUUAAGUGUUAAGCCUAUUUUAUUCUUCUACCCAGUCAUUGCUAUAGGCAAAAUGUGUUGAGUUAGUUAAGGAAUUUGUAGUUGUUGGAACAUAUUACAGGACAUUGGGAUAUGUUGAAGAUGACAAGGUCAAAGGUGCAUGAUAGGCCUCAUCAGGGCCUGGAACCAGGAACCCAGAAACCCAGGACCUGAGACUACUUUGUCCACCUCUGCUGGUUUCAUUUGGCUUGUCACUUGUUUCUCUCUAUAUAGGUCAACUUCCUGUCUUUGUGGUCAGCUUUUCUACAUCUAUUAUUGCACAUGUCUAUUAUUCAGACUACUGUAGAUACAAACAUACAUCCACCAAUGUGUCCUCAUAAGAUCAUCUUAGGAAGGAAAAACUGAUUGGUCCAAUUUAGAUCAUGUGCUCCUGUUUGCUCCAAUCAGCUGAAGACAAAGAUGAAGACUCACACAUUUCACAAAUUAAGAAAAAGAGUUGAUGGUGCAGCUGCUUUGAAAAACAAAUUAAGAAACUUGUGGCAGUUUCUCAAGUCAUUGAACAUAGACUUACCACAUGACCCAGCAAUUCCGCUCAUAGGCAUUAAUCAAAAAAACCAAAAAAACAAAAAACAUUCAUCCACAUAAAAUUUGCACAUAAAUGUUUGCAAUGGCCAGUAAGUGAAAAGAACUCAAAUGUCCAUCAACUGGUGAUCAGAUAAACAAAACAUGGUAAAGCCAUGCAACGAAACACUAGUGGAUAAUAAAAAGGAAUGAAGCACUGAAACACGCUACAACAUGGAUGAACCUCAAAAGCAUGAUGUUAGGUAGAAGAAGCCAGAUGUAAAAGAUCAUAUAUUUUAUGAUUUCAUUUAUUUAAAUGUCCAGAAAAGGCAAAUGUAUAGACAUGGAGUAGAUAAGCAUUUGCCUGGGACUGGAGUGGGAAUGGGAAAUAACUGUAAUGGGCACAAGGUUUCUUUCCAAGGUGAUGGGAAAGUUCUAAAAUUAGAUGGUGGUGAUGGUUGCACAACUCCAUAAAUAUACUAAAAGCCGUUUAGUUGUAUAGUUUCAGUGGGUAAAUUUCAUCAUAUGUACAUUAUUUCUCAAUAAAGCUGUUAGGAAGGAAGGAAAGAAAGGAUGGAGGAGAUUUGGAAGAAAUGGUUUACAUUACCCAUGGAUGGAUUCCCUUCCAGUUGCCCCGACCUGCAAGGUGAAUUACUGCCUCUGUGUCAUUUUUUGUAUCAUUUGUUUUACCGAUACCAUCCUCCCUUCCAUUUAUUCAAAUGAUGGGGUGGGGCGGGGAUUUCUGUUUUGUUCUCUGCAGCUGUAAGCAUCAGAGAUUUCUCUUUUUUUAAAAUGAAUUUCUUAUUCUCAAGGCCCUACAUUGCCUGGACUUCUGUUCAUCUAGGCCUCAUUUGCUGAUACUCUUUACCUUAUUCAAGCAUCCUCACAACUGACCUUCUUUCCUUCUAUUUCAUCAUGUCCCGUGAAUUUCCCAAAAGAUCCCAAAGUGGUGCUACCUGAAAUGUUCUUUCCCCAGAUCUCUGCAAAGCUUAUUGGUGCCUGUCAUUCAAGUCUUCCCUCUAACAUCACUUUCUCAUAGGGAAGAUCCCUGACAACUCUUUCUAAAACAGUGUCUCAAUCCCAAAUAUUUUCUGUUUUUCCCUUAGGUCACCCUCCACCCUUCCCCACCCUGCUCUCUGCCUCUGGAAACUGACCUAUAUAGACACAUCAAUGGACUCUCCUGCCCUCUGCCUUCCUGUUGGGUUUGCCAAGGACCAGUCCUGUCUUACCAAUUCCAUUUUCAAUUUUAUUAGUGUAGGGACUAAUCUUGACACUUUUGGAUCCACCCUUUAACACUAUCCCCAGUUCCUUAUAGAUACCCCCCAGUUUGUCGAUAAUGACUGCCAUAUUUAUCAUAGUUCCCUAGGAGGAGAACUGAUAACCUUCUUUUGGAGAUUCACAAUAUAAAGCAUAAUAUUAAAGGCUCUGAGAAGGUCUGCACAUAAACAAACAAAGCAAGCAUGCAAACACAUUUAAUUUUGUUUAGCCUAGCUUAUCCUAAACUUCUUAAACCAUGGAUCCCUUUUUCAUGCACUAAGUGCUAACAUCUUAUAUACUUAAAAUCCUUCUGAGCAUAGUUUAGGAAACUUUGUCUUUUCCUAUGUGAGUUCCAAUUCUCAUGUCCGUCCUGCAAACUUUCCCUUAUGUCAGAAUUAAGACUCAGAGAAGUCAAGUGGCUUCUGCACAGUAAUUUAAGCUCAUGAGAUGCCUAGCUGGAAUUUGAGCCCGUGCCUGGAUACAUUGAAAGCCCUAUUUUUGCCCCUGUACCAUGCUUUUGCUAAGAUAGGGUGAAUUGCCUGGGAUUCAACCUUAAUUAUUUGAUAAAAAUAAUUUGUAACUAACCAUUGACUGCUUCUCUGUGAAUGCUAUUCUGAAGGACUUGAUGACAAUUUAUUCUCUGCUCCGACAGUCUGCUUUGCAUUAUCAAUCUGUUAAGAAACUGUUUUUGUAGAGCCGUGCAAAAGGAAACUUCUAUCCAGACUGUCUGAAUUAUCCAAAAAUUCUGAACUGAUGGCAUUCAAAUGAAUAAGACUUUACAGAACUGUAUCUCAAGAAUUGAUUAGAUUUGUCAGUUUUCCUGAGGAUAUAAAGUCCUGGAUGGCUUUCCUGAAAGUACGCUAGAAUAUAAAUAAUCAGUAAGUUUUCAGGUGAAUUCCAGGGAGUUCAUGGGAAAAGGAAAACUCUGGCUAUCUGCGUGGAAAUCUAUAGUCUACCUGACAAAACCUUACACAUAGUCCCAAAGUAUAAGCUCGAUGAUGAGGGUGUUUGGGGAAAAAAAAGCAAACAAAGUUUUUUCUUUCUUU